rnacentral:piRNA from 1 species
UCUGAAAAUGGGGCCCCGUGCCCGGCGUGUG